rnacentral:rRNA from 1 species
UACAGAGGUCUCAAGCGUUGUUCGGAUUCAUUGGGCGUAAAGGGUGCGUAGGUGGCGCUGUAAGUCGGGUGUGAAAUUUCGGAGCUUAACUCCGAAACUGCAUUCGAUACUGCCGUGCUUGAGGACUGGAGAGGAGACUGGAAUUCCUGGUGUAGCGGUGAAAUGCGCAGAUAUCAGGAGGAACACCGGUGGCGAAGGCGGGUCUCUGGGCCGAUACUGACGCUGAGGAGCGAAAGCGUGGGGAGCGAACAGG